GUAGCUCAGUGGAUAGAGCAUCUGUUUCCUAAGCAGAAGGUCGUAGGUUUGACCCCAACC
rfam:Triticum urartu cultivar G1812 contig768327, whole genome shotgun sequence.